UACGAAGGGUCCAAGCGUUGUUCGGAAUCAUUGGGCGUAAAGCGCGCGCAGGCGGAUCAGCAAGUCAGAUGUGAAAUCUCGAAGCUCAACUUCGAAACUGCGUCUGAAACUGCUAGUCUAGAGUGUCGGAGGGGGAAGGGGAAUUUCACGUGUAGGGGUAAAAUCCGUAGAGAUGUGAAGGAACACCGGGGGCGAAGGCGCCUUCCUGGACGACUACUGACGCUGAGGCGCGAAGGCCGGGGGAGCAAACAGG
rnacentral:rRNA from 1 species